GACUGAGGGGGUACAAGGAGAAUUUCAACCUUGACUUUUCAUUUUAGGAAGCAAUCAAUGGAGCUCAUCUCUUUGACAGCAACAAAACCAGCGAGAGAGCUGGCGUGGCACCUUUGCAAGGCUGGAAAAUGAGGACUGUGCUGCCAGCAAGAUGCGGGACCCCAUUGGGGCUGUGCCACUCGUUAGCUGUCGGACCCCACUCAGGCGACAGAGCGUCUCAAUGUCUCUGCUCUUCCUGUUUCCAGGAGCCUGCAAGAGGACUGUGCGAGUGCGAGGCUAAGAGCAGUGCCUGGCUGGAGACGGAAUCCACAGAACGCCGCGACCAGCUGGAUGGUGUGAGAGGGUUCGGCCUGAAGUCCUUGUCUGCGAUGGUCCCACUGUCCAUUCAUUCACCCGAACCAGAAGACUGGGACACACCCUCAGCUUCCCACUCUGCCCCAAUGUCACACCCGAAUCCAUCAACCUGUCUUCCUCUCCUAACAUCCUGGUCUCGUCCUCAUCUUCACCGUGCCCUCCUUACGCAGUGAGUCACCAUCCCCUUCACCAGUCCAGCUGCCGGAUGGGGGCCAGAGGAGGCCUGGUGUACUGCAGACUGAGGAGGAGGAAGAACAAAAUGCUAAGGUAGAAGCUUGCUCUGAGGUUGGAAUGGCUUCCAAAUCAUUCCAGGUGUGUUUCAAGGCUUAAAGAGAAAUUGCUGGCAGAGUUUCAGCCCCCAAGUACAGCAAAGAACAUCUUCUUGAGCUGCCUUGCCUGGAGCCCAAUUAAGGCAAAGACACAAACUCGCCCGGCCACGGCCCCACAAAGUCUGGCCUCAGGGCUGCAGCGCACUUGGAAGACGUUUUAAUUUCAUUUGUGUGUUUUUUCAAUUUGAUUAUUAAGUGCCGUUUACACAUGGACAGGGGAAGGCCUGUUUUCGCUCGCCGACUCCCCUUCCUCCCUGGCCCGCGUGCCUCCCUGGUGAGUAACGGGGAGGCUGCUUUGCUGGAAUACAGGGGAAACCUUCCAGCAAAUUGCAAAAGCAUGUUCCUUCCUUGAAAACUUUCACACUUGUUUUUCGACUCUGAUCCUCAAGUUCAUGAAAGCCUCCAUAAACGCACUUUAAAAGACCUUAGCUUUCUUUGUUCUCCGUGGCCAACUUUCUUUGUCUCCCAGGAGGAGGUGUGUGACUUCAAGGGACAAUAAACAAAGCAUCAAGCCUGGGGCGAGGGCCCAGCAGGCU